rnacentral:lncRNA from 1 species
UGGUGGAAGAGGGGGCUAUGGUGGGAGAGGGGGUUAUGGUGGGAAAGGUUAUGGAGAUCCGUAUGGAGGAGGAGAUGGUGGGGGUGGGUAUAGAAGAUACUGAUACCUGCAGAUGUUAGAGAAUACUGCUUCCUACUAGAUGCAGUAGAUAUAGUGUCCUGAGGAACAUACUUGAACAUCACCCUGAGGUAGAUCAUGUUAGUGCCCCCGAGGAAGGCAUUCCUGAAUACAAAAGGCCAUUUUAUAUACUGGGUGAUGAUCCUGCAACAUGAUUUUUUUCCAUAUUCUGUGUACUAAAGCAUGCUGUGUCUUUUUAAAAAGCAAAAACAAAACCUAUUUUUAAAAAUGUAAAUAUUUAUUACCAGCAACUUGGAAAAAUGGAAUGUAUUUUAUUGUCAUGUUUGAAUUUAGACUGUAAACUGGUAUUUUGUUCAGGGUUGAAACACAUAUGACACCUGCCAGUAACAGAAAGGAAUCUAGACUCGAGUCGUUUGUAUUCCUGGGGAUCUGUCCUGUAUUGUUAAUUCUAUUUUACAAAAUAGAGGAAGUGUCUAAUGUGUGUGUAGUCAGUUGUCCUUUUUAAAAUUGGUUGAAAUUCCUCUGGUCAGGUUUUUAUUAAAUUUCUGUUAACUGAAAAAAAAUAAAAUAAA